GAAAAGGAGAGUAGAAGUUUGGAGAAGCCCAUUGUCUUUCUACAUGAUAGGGUACAGAGGUGCGAAGAUAUGUGGCAGCUUGGAAGCUGGGCGGACGCCUCCAAUAACCUGUUUAAAAAAAGGAAACAGGCUAUAAUAAAUGAUGAACCCCAAAAUACCAAUGCCAUCUCCCAGGGACAGUGAUUUAACAACAAGCAACACUGAAACCCAAAGGACUAUGAGAUAAUAGAUGUCUACUGCAUGAAGCCACCCAGGGUCCCAGGCGUUGGAGAGGACUAAUGCUCGGACUUCUUGGAAGCCUAGUCUGGUCAGGAUGCCCAUGUGCCCAGUUCCUUGAGCCUCCAUCACAUGACACCAUGUCAACAG